GCGAGCCGGCGGGCGGCCCCCGGGCCCCAAGAGGGCCUGAGGAAACUCCAACCACCGGGCGGGACCGCGACGCCCGCAAGGGCGUGGGGCGAGAGCCCCGGCUCCGGAACAGAAACGGGACCCCCACGGGCGGAUGUCCAUGACGCCUUCGCCUUCAGAAGGGGUCGAGUAUGCCCGUGGGUUGGGUGAAACGGCCGACCCGCGGGGUGUAAGGGCGAGUAGGCCCCUAUGAGCUCCCGCCUGAGGGGCGGGUGGCCCGCUGAGCUGGAUGCCGCCUGAACAGAAGUUGGGUUACGACCGGCACGC
rnacentral:RNase_P_RNA from 1 species